rnacentral:rRNA from 1 species
GAUGAACGCUGGCGGCGUGCCUAAUACAUGCAAGUCGAGCGAACAGACGAGUAGCUUGCUCCUCUAACGUUAGCGGCGGAAGGGUGAGGAACAUGUGGAUACCCUACCUAUAAGACUGGGAUAACUUCGUGAAACCGGAGCUAAUACCGUAUAAUAUAUUCAACCGCAUGGUUCAAUAGUUAAAGACGGUUUUGCUGUCACUUAGAGAUGUAUCCGCGCCGCAUUAGCUAGUUGGUAAGGUAACGGCUUACCAAGGCAACGAUGCGUAGCCGACCUGAGAGGGUGUUCGGCCACACUGGAACUGAGCCACGGCCCAGACUCCUACGGGAGGCAGCAGUAGCGACUCUUCCGCACUGGGCGGAAGCCUGCCGGAGCAACGCCGCGUGAGUGAUGAAGCUCUUCGGAUCGUAAAACUCUGUUAGUAGUGAAGACCAAAUGUGUAAGUAACGAUGCACGUCUUGACGGUACCUAAACAGAAAGCAACGGCUAACUACGUG